GAUGAACGCUGGCGGUAUGCUUAACACAUGCAAGUCGAACGGACUCUUCGGAGUUAGUGGCGGACGGGUGAGUAACGCGUGAGAAUCUGGCUUUGGGUUCGGGACAACCACUGGAAACGGUGGCUAAUACCGGAUGUGCCGAGAGGUAAAAGAGAAAUUGCCUGAAGAUGAGCUCGCGUCUGAUUAGCUAGUUGGUGAGGUAAAGGCUCACCAAGGCAGCGAUCAGUAGCUGGUCUGAGAGGAUGACCAGCCACACGGGGACUGAGACACGGCCCAGACUCCUACGGGAGGCAGCAGUGGGGAAUUGUCCGAAAGGGGCGAAAGCCUGACGGAGCAAUACCGCGUGAGGGAAGAAGGCUCUUGGGUUGUAAACCUCUUGUCUUAGGGAAGAACAAAAUGACGGUACCUAAGGAAUCAGCAUCGGCUAACUCCGUG
rnacentral:rRNA from 1 species